GCCCCUGUAGCGCAAUGGGUAGCGCAUUGGACUUCUAAUCCAAAGGUCGUUGAUUCAAAUUCCCCCUGGGAUG